rnacentral:rRNA from 1 species
UAGGGAAUCUUCCGCAAUGGACGAAAGUCUGACGGAGCAACGCCGCGUGAGUGAAGAAGGAUUUCGGUUCGUAAAACUCUGUUGUUAGGGAAGAAAAAAUGUAUAGUAACUAUAUACAAAAGAGACGGUACCUAACCAGAAAGCCACGGCUAACUACGUGCCAGCAGCCGCGGUAAUACGUAGGUGGCAAGCGUUGUCCGGAAUUAUUGGGCGUAAAGCGCGCGCAGGUGGUUUAGAAAGUCUGAUGUGAAAGCCCACGGCUCAACCGUGGAGGGUCAUUGGAAACUAAUAAACUUGAGUGCAGGAGAGAAAAGUGGAAUUCCCAGUGUAGCGGUGAAAUGCGUAGAUAUUGGGAGGAAGACCAGUAGCGAAGGCGGCUUUCUGGACUGCAACUGACACUGAGGCACGAAAGCGUGGGUAGCAAACAGG